CUUCAGUCCCGUUCGUUGAUGUAUGGAAGAUGACCUGUGAAAGCAUGGACCAUGUCUGAAGGUCCUUCUUGUGGUUGUGAUGGGCUUUGCAACCAGCAGAGUAGUGCGUGAAUUUGGCCACUGCUGCUCCUACUCAGACUUUCCAAUGGUGCCAUCUUGGAUCAGCCAUGGCGGCACCCGAUGGCAUCGGCACAUGGAUGGGUUGUGGAGUAUGGUUUUCAUACGGAGUAUGGUUUUCAUACUGAAUUCGCUAGAGGAUUCAACAACAGUGAUGCAGCAGGAUUUGUAUUGUAAGUCGGUCUGAUGCAGUUCAGCUGCACCAUGAUGACCUCAUAAAUGACACCAGUUGACCCCAGGAGCUCCGAAUUACUAUCUAAUGAAUACAUGAGGUCAUCGUAAUGGAAAAUGAGGUGCUUUUAUCACGUUUGGGAAAAUAACUUUGUAAAACGGUGAGCUUACAGUCGUUAGUAAAUAACACUGUCCAGUGUGAAUUAUCAAGCCCUCUCCCUGGGUGUUACACCCCUACCUCUCUUUGGAGAGAGUGAAACCAAUUUUCCUUGAACGCCGCCCCACCCCAGCGGCUGGGAAUCCUCUCAGCCCGUCGUGAAGGUACAACGGGAUGGAGCUUUAUGUAGAUGAGGCCUUCUGACGUCACGCUAGCGUGCGAGUGCAACCCUGCCACGGAAACUCCGGCCCCGGGCUCCCAUUUCCCAC